rnacentral:snoRNA from 1 species
CUCCAAGGUGAUUCCCUCUCCAUGGGAACAUCCAGUGCCCCUCUCAGGAAAGUAACAACUUGGAAUAGAAUCUGGCAUGCCUAAGGUCUUUGGGGAACAGGGAUGCUCCUCUCCCCUGCCUUCCUUGGCUACCUACAUAG